rnacentral:rRNA from 1 species
AUUGAACGCUGGCGGCAUGCUUUACACAUGCAAGUCGAACGGUAACAGGCCGCAAGGUGCUGACGAGUGGCGAACGGGUGAGUAAUGCAUCGGAACGUGCCCAGUCGUGGGGGAUAACUACUCGAAAGAGUAGCUAAUACCGCAUACGAUCUAUGGAUGAAAGCGGGGGACCGUAAGGCCUCGCGCGAUUGGAGCGGCCGAUGUCAGAUUAGGUAGUUGGUGGGGUAAAGGCUCACCAAGCCAACGAUCUGUAGCUGGUCUGAGAGGACAACCAGCCACACUGGGACUGAGACACGGCCCAGACUCCUACGGGAGGCAGCAGUGGGGAAUUUUGGACAAUGGGCGCAAGCCCGAUCCAGCAAUGCCGCGUGCAGGAAGAAGGCCUUCGGGUUGUAAACUGCUUUUGUACGGAACGAAACGGCUCUGGUUAAUACCCGGGGCUAAUGACGGUACCGGAAGAAUAAGCACCGGCUAACUACGUG